rnacentral:tRNA from 1 species
AGAGGGAUGGCUCAAGUGGUAGAGCAUUUGCCUAUCAGGUGCAAGGCUCUGAGUUCAAACCCCGGUACUUCUU